rnacentral:tRNA from 1 species
GCGUGAGUGGGGUAGUGGUAACCUUAAUCGUUGCCAAAAAGAAGCACACUCGAUUAGCCAGGGGUUCGAUUCCCUUCUCACGCA